rnacentral:lncRNA from 1 species
UUAUUUUUGUGAACAAGAACUUCAGUAGCAUCUGGCAUGGUUAAGUUGGCAUAGAAUUGUCAAACUAACUCUUCUUCAGGUAGUGAUCGCGCAUCACAGAAAUAGUUCCAGUUAAGGGUAUUAAUUUUUUUUCGAAUUGGCAGGGGCACCACAAAAUUUUCAUUAUUCUCAAAAUUGAAACCUUUUUUCGGCAUCAUAG